AGCGAACGCUGGCGGCAGGCUUAACACAUGCAAGUCGAGCGGGCGUAGCAAUACGUCAGCGGCAGACGGGUGAGUAACACGUGGGAACGUACCUUUUGGUUCGGAACAACUGAGGGAAACUUCAGCUAAUACCGGAUAAGCCCUAACGGGGAAAGAUUUAUCGCCGAAAGAUCGGCCCGCGUCUGAUUAGCUAGUUGGUGAGGUAAUGGCUCACCAAGGCGACGAUCAGUAGCUGGUUUGAGAGGAUGAUCAGCCACACUGGGACUGAGACACGGCCCAGACUCCUACGGGAGGCAGCAGUGGGGAAUAUUGGACAAUGGGGGCAACCCUGAUCCAGCCAUGCCGCGUGAGUGAUGAAGGCCCUAGGGUUGUAAAGCUCUUUUGUGCGGGAAGAUAAUGACGGUACCGCAAGAAUAAGCCCCGGCUAACUUCGUGCCAGCAGCCGCGGUAAUACGAAGGGGGCUAGCGUUGCUCGGAAUCACUGGGCGUAAAGGGUGCGUAGGCGGGUCUUUAAGUCAGGGGUGAAAUCCUGGAGCUCAACUCCAGAACUGCCUUUGAUACUGAGGAUCUUGAGUCCGGAAGAGGUGAGUGGAACUGCGAGUGUAGAGGUGAAAUUCGUAGAUAUUCGCAAGAACACCAGUGGCGAAGGCGGCUCACUGGUCCGGUACUGACGCUGAGGCACGAAAGC
rnacentral:rRNA from 1 species